rnacentral:lncRNA from 1 species
CAGGUGGACGCGGCGCGAGUCCGUCGGUCCGUCAGUCCGCGCGCUCAGCGCUCCGGGCGUCCUCUGCGGGCUGUGAGCUGCGGCUGCUCCGGCUUCUCUUUGCAACGAGGCUGGAGGGUGGGCCUUUUUUUUUUCCUUUCCCUUUUUUGCGCGUGUGUGUCUGUGUGUGUGCGCAAAAUAUCUCUAUCUCGGGAAUGAAAGAUGGGCGCUGGCGGCCGGAGGGGAGCCCUCAGGGAGGCAGCGGGGGAGGCUGCGGGUGCGCGGGGAGACAGGCGGGCUGCUCCCGGCGGCAGGAGGAGAAGUUGCCACCCUUUCAGCUGUUCCGGCCUUUAUAAAGGAGAAGGGAGAGCGCUAGAGGUAGCCUCUCGGUGCUCCUGUGAAGUAUGUUACUGCUAUCUUACAAAUGGGGACAUUGAAGCACAGAGAGGUUAAGCAACUUGUUCAAGGUCACACAGCCGGUAAGUGGUAGAGACUGGACUGGAACCCAAGCCUUCCAGCUGUGGAGCCCGCACGCUUAAAUUAACACCAUGCUAUGCUGCCUCUUGGCAGGUGCUGACUGAUUGACGAUGAUAAUUAUGACACAUUUUACACUUGUGAGCAUCAAACACAACAUAUGUAAAAGUGCUUUGCCAACUGAAAGUGCUGUACGGACAUGAGUUCUGACUUACGCACAAAGUGUUGUGGGAGCACAAAGGAGGGAACACACAGCUCAGCCUCCGGGGAGGGAGGCAAAGGGGAGGGAGGCUACUAGGAGCAGCAUCAUUGAGCACCCACCCAUCCUUACUGCAGGCCCGAGGUGGAAAUGUAAUAUAGGAGACCCAGAGCUGGGGUUCUGGGACCUACCAGGCUGCUAAGUGGGAUAGACACAAAUCAUUACAGUCCAGAGGUCUUUGUGCACUGCUUGGAAAUGGCAAGACGGGGACAGAAGAGACAGAUGGAACCACAGGGCUCCCAGCCUGAAUGCCAUGCUAAAGAGACACCGCCCCCCGUACCCUCUCCUUGUAGACACCAUGCCAAUGUGGGGGGGUCUUUCUAUACGAGCAGUUCUCUAAAGAACACCUCCUUCUUUUCUUCCUAAGACUUAGCACCUCCUCCAGGAAGCCCCCUGGGCUUGGUACUUGCUCUGGGUUUCCACAGCAAGUGGAAACUUGUGUUUCCCUCGUGUUGUCAUUGCCCGUUUAUCAGUCUAGCACUAGACUGAGAUCCAGGUGAACAAGGGCCUGAUUCUAGCUCCCAGCAGUUGCUCAAUAAAUGUCUGCUAGAGGAAUGAAUAAAUGAGUAC